UUUCUUUCUUAUACUCUCUUUUUCUCGUUUGCCUUUUCCAUUUCCUCUCGUCGUUCAUUUUCUUUUUUCUUUCUCCUUCUUCGCCCUACGUCGUCCUCCCCGCUACCUCUUUCUCUUUCGCUCUACCCAACUCGUUUUACCCGGGCGAUCGCAAAUUUAUUCCGUCGAGUCGGCGACGCCGUCGGCCGGCGGAAUCGCAGUACUUUAUACUCGUCGAGAAUCGAUAGACAGCCGCGCGCGGAUAUGGAAGCACUAUAUUUUCCUUCGUCGCACCUCCGAGCCUCUCUCAGAGGCUCUCUUGUCAAUAAAGUGAGCACUUUCCUGGCACGGAGUUUCAUUAUUUCUUUACCCGCACCACCGACGCCGCCACUGACGCCUCCGCCUCCGCCUCCGCCAUCGGCAGCAGCGAGGCCGACGCCCAACGGGAAGACGGUCGUCGUUUUACUACGAUCUCUCUUUCUCUAUUCCGUUCUUUCUCUCACGAGCCAUCUUUUCUUCCUAACGAAGGCCGAUCUACUACGAGUAAGAGGUUCGAAUACAAGCAAGUUAUGAGGCCGGUGACCUUAACGAAACAUCGUAAAGAACGAAGCGUAAAAUGAUUUACGUUAGUGUACCACGAUAUCUACUCGAGAGAUACCACUCGUAGAUCUGGUUGAAGUCAAAGAGUCAUGGAGGUGUGGUGAUAGAAGGAGAUAAUUUAAAGGACGGAUAGCAAGAGUAUUUUCGUAUAAUUGAUCGAAUCUAAUGAGUUAAAGGGGACGAAACGGUAUCGAUGGUGGAUAUUAAAGAGUUCUAGGUCAUGGCGACGACAGCCUCGAGGGAGAGAGAGAAAGUACGGAGAACUUGGGUACUUACUCUCUCUCUCUCUCUCUCUGUGUCUGUCUCUGUCUCUCCUACUUCCUUGGCCCUCCCGCCACUCGGUCGGGUCGGUCCAACCGACGCGCGGAGGGCGCUGAUUGUAAAUUAGUUAAAGGAGAUGCUUCAUUAGAACCAGCUGUUUGCACCCAGAAAUUUCAAUUUUCUACGGGUAAAGAAAUUAUGUAACAAUAAAGAUCGUUUACUUUAACAAUUAUCCAAUAAUGAGUAAGAGAAAUGAAGGAUCUUGUGGAAAGCAUUAAUAAUUGAACGUACGGCAGGAGAAUUAGUUGGUCACAGACAAUUACUUCUAUUAGUUAUCAAAAAUGCAUUCAUUCUGAGAAACCGACAAAAUCCUAUCCCAUUUCGCCAUUACUUCUUGGUCGCCUCGGGACUCGAGCUCGCCAGCGAUGACGUUUCAACGUCGCUCCACGCUCACUUUUCAAUUUGCAGAGAAAUGAAGAAGGAGCUGCGCCGGUAGGAAGAGAGUGUGUGGGACAAGCGAGGGGGUAUGGUAUGAGAGAGUGGGUGGAUGAAUGCUAUAAAGUAAAGCGAGAUGGAAAUGGUAAAGAAGAGAAUAGAGGGAAUAAGAGUGAAAGAGAUAAAGAAAACGAGAGAGAGAGAGAGAGAAGGACGAGAAGAAAGAAAGAAAACGCGUGGCGAAGCAGCAGAAGGGGUGGCCGAGUAUGAGAAAGGAGAAAAGGCGGCCCGUUACACGAAAGGUGGUGUCUUCCACGUCCCCCAGGGAAAUUAUUGACAGUCAGCGAGGAAAUGACGUCGUAAAUACCACCUCGAGCCGAACCCUCCUCGCAAGAGCAUCUUCCAUCUUCGCCUUCUCGACUUGCCUUCGUUUCUACUCCUUUUCUUUUCCUUUUCUUUUUCUUCUUUUUUCUCUUUCCUUUUCCCUUAAUACCCACCACCUUACCCCCACUUCGCUCACUCAUCCACUUCUUCUCUUUCGUUUUCAUGUUUCUCGGCUCGCUCACGUGGAAAUUACACGUUCUACCAGCGAAUCUUUUGAUUCGUUGUUUCAACCUAAGAUUUUCAAGGUGACCUGUGUUGACAAGGUCGUCUUUAUUAUCGGUGUCUCUUAUUUCGGAAUGAAUUUAUAAUUAUUUGAAAAUGAUAUAUAUAUAUAUAUCAAGCAUUUUCUAUUUCGUGCAACGAGAAUUUCUGAGAAUAAACGAAAGAAGAAGCGGAAAACUUGAGAAAAGUAACGUUAGAAUUAGAGUCAUAUUACCGGUGGAAGGAAAUUAAAAAGAUUCGCAAUGAAACGCAAGCAGCGCGUAUCCUUUUUCGCGUUUACGAAACUUUUGCGAGACGUUAUUUAGUCGGAACGAAAGGGACACCGACUUGGAGUCAUAGUAAAUUCGUACUAAAACGUUUCUAAGAGAAAAAAGAAGAAGGACCUAUUGGCGAGCGAGACCGUUUGAGUUUCUCUCGUUUUUCAUCGUCUGCAAUUUUGAUUUCGUUCGUGUCAUUUCCGGGCGAACGGUGUAGGUAUUAUUAAAAUGUACAAAGCUGGAAUUAUUUCCAGUUAACAAUGUGUACGAGAGAAAGUCCCUCCCCCUUUUGAAAGAAAAAGGGAGACGGAAGUGACUCGCCUCUUUUGCCUCUUUCCUUCCUUCCUUUGCUCUUCUCCUUCUUUAUCGCUGACGUUUCAUCCCCGGAGCGAUUUAAUAGUUUUAUAAAGCCGCGAGCCAACACUCGACUCGUAAAUUUCUUUUUGUCUUUCUUUUUCUUGUUUUCUCUUUUUCUUUUUCUUUGCCCCAUUGUUCUUUCCAUACCGCUAGGUAUUUGAAUCGAAGGCAUACCAUUGGUUUAUUAAAAGACACACUCAAUACGAUACAUAGCUCUUUCAACAACGUUUCUUUCAUCGGCAUACCAACAAUAAAAAGGCAGUUGAGGUUUCUUUCGUUUUACCUUGUAUUAUUAGCAGUUUUCAUAUUUCAGACAUCGAUAUAUACAUACGUACAUAGAUACGUAUAUAUAUAUAUAUACAUAUACACACAAAAUGUAUAUAUAUAUAUAUAAAAUAUGUAGUAUAUGCAUCUAUAUCGUCGUCGUUGCUGGCUUAAUAAAAAGUUCCUCGUGAUAGGCGAGAGCGCAGGCAAGGUAUGUAGGUAUAAAGCGAAAAAGGAGAAGAAGGAAGAGGCAAGGCAGCGCUUGGAAUAUUUGCACGUGGAAAGACGAAACUCGUCGCUUCUCUCGGAUAUUGCAACCGAUGCCUCUCGUUUUCCCUUAUCCCCAAGUUUCUUUGCCGCGUGAAAGAAGGAGGAAGAAAGAAGAAGCGCAUUAUACGUGGAAACGUUCCUCCCUUUCGCCUCGCGGCCACGGAGAACAGGGAGUUCUCGCUCUGGAAGAAAAGGGAGAAAAACGAUGCCGAAGGAAAAUGUCGAGAGGGAAAAAGAUGUACGUAUCUAUAUACGAAAAGAAAGAGAGAGAAAGAGAGAAAGAGAAAGAGAGAGAGAAAGAAAGAAAGAGAGAAAGAGAGAGAAGCGUAGGCGGCUCUAGGAAAGGCGCAGAAGCGAGCGUCGAUGUGGAGAGAGUAGGGCUAGUAGUGGAGGCAGAAGGGAGUUA